GGGGACUACGGGGGUUUCUAAUCCCGUUUGCUACCCACGCUUUCGCGUCUCAGCGUCAGUGGUCAGCCAGAAGGCCGCUUUCGCCACUGGUGUUCCUCCCGAUCUCUACGCAUUCCACCGCUACACCGGGAAUUCCACCUUCCUCUCUGACCCUCCAGUCCCGCAGUUUCGGCUGACCUCCCCCAGUUGAGCCAGGGGCUUUCACAACCGACUUGCCGAACCGCCUACACGCGCUUUACGCCCAGUGAAUCCGGAUAACGCUCGCCUCCUACGUCUUACCGCGGCUGCUGACAC
rnacentral:misc_RNA from 1 species